rnacentral:rRNA from 1 species
UCCGCCUGGGGACUACGGUCGCAAGACUAAAACUCAAAGGAAUUGACGGGGACCCGCACAAGCGGUGGAGCAUGUGGUUUAAUUCGAUGCAACGCGAAAAACCUUACCACUCCUUGACAUGGAGAUUAGAUCCUUCUUAACGGAAGGGCGCAGUUCGGCUGGAUCUCGCACAGGUGCUGCAUGGCUGUCGUCAGCUCGUGUCGUGAGAUGUUGGGUUAAGUCCCGCAACGAGCGUAACCCUCAUCCUUAGUUGCCAGCGGGUUAAGCCGGGCACUUUAAGGAAACUGCCAGUGGUAAACUGGAGGAAGGUGGGGAUGAUGUCAAGUCAGCACGGCCCUUAUGGGGUGGGCUACACACGUGCUACAAUGGUGACUACAAUAGGUUGCAAUGUCGCAAGGCUGAGCUAAUCCGUAAAAGUCAUCUCAGUUCGGAUUGUCCUCUGCAACUCGAGGGCAUGAAGUCGGAAUCGCUAGUAAUCGUGGAUCAGCAUGCCACGGUGAAUACGUUCUCGGGUCUUGUACACACUGCCCGUCACGCCAUGGGAAUUGGCUUAACUCGAAGCUGGUGCGCUAACCGAAAGGAA